rnacentral:rRNA from 1 species
UACGGGGGGGGCAAGCGUUGUUCGGAAUUACUGGGCGUAAAGGGCUCGUAGGCGGCCAACUAAGUCAGACGUGAAAUCCCUCGGCUUAACCGGGGAACUGCGUCUGAUACUGGAUGGCUAGAGUUUGGGAGAGGUAUGCGGAAUUCCAGGUGUAGCGGUGAAAUGCGUAGAUAUCUGGAGGAACACCGGUGGCGAAGGCGGCAUCCUGGACCGGCAUUGACGCUGAGGCGCGAAAGCCAGGGGAGCAAACAGG